AUUGAACGCUGGCGGCAUGCCUUACACAUGCAAGUCGAACGGCAGCGGGGGAGAAGCUUGCUUUUCCUGCCGGCGAGUGGCGAACGGGUGAGUAAUACAUCGGAACGUGCCCUGUAGUGGGGGAUAACUAGUCGAAAGAUUAGCUAAUACCGCAUACGACCUGAGGGUGAAAGUGGGGGACCGCAAGGCCUCAUGCUAUAGGAGCGGCCGAUGUCGGAUUAGAUAGUGGGUGGGGUAAAGGCCUACCAAGGCGACGAUCAGUAGCUGGUCUGAGAGGACGAUCAGCCACACUGGGACUGAGACACGGCCCAGACUCCUACGGGAGGCAGCAGUGGGGAAUUUUGGACAAUGGGCGAAAGCCUGAUCCAGCAAUGCCGCGUGUGUGAAGAAGGCCUUCGGGUUGUAAAGCACUUUUGUCCGGAAAGAAAUGGCUCUGGUUAAUACCUGGGGUCGAUGACGGUACCGGAAGAAUAAGGACCGGCUAACUACGUGCCAGCCGCCGCCGUAA
rnacentral:rRNA from 1 species